GUUAUAUGGUCAAGCGAAUAAGCGCACACGGUGGAUGCCUUGGCGGUCAGAGGCGAUGAAGGACGUGGCAGCCUGCGAAAAGUAUCGGGGAGCUGGCAACAAGCUUUGAUCCGGUAAUGUCCGAAUGGGGAAACCCACCCGCUUGCGGGUAUCCUGCAGUGAAUACAUAGCUGCUGGAAGCGAACCUGGUGAACUGAAAUAUCUAAGUAACCAGAGGAAAAGAAAUCAACCGAGAUUCCGUAAGUAGCGACGAGCGAACGCGGACUAGCCCUUAAGCUGGAUUGGUUCUAGGAAAACGCUCUGGAAAGAGCGGCCAUAGAAGGUGAUAGCCCUGUAUCUGAAAGGGCCAUUCCAGUGAAGACGAGUAGGGCGGGGCACGUGAAACCCUGUCUGAACAUGGGGGGACCAUC
rnacentral:rRNA from 1 species